UACGUAGGCAGCGAGCGUUGUUCGGAGUUACUGGGCGUAAAGGGUGUGUAGGCGGUUGUUUAAGUUUGGUGUGAAAUCUCCCGGCUCAACUGGGAGGGUGCGCCGAAUACUGAAUGACUCGAGUGCGGGAGAGGAGAGUGGAAUUCCUGGUGUAGCGGUGAAAUGCGUAGAUAUCAGGGGGAACACCGGCGGUGUAGACGGCUCUCUGGACCGUAACUGACGCUGAGACACGAAAGCGUGGGUAGCAAACAGG
rnacentral:rRNA from 1 species